rnacentral:rRNA from 1 species
CCUACGGGAGGCAGCAGUGGGGAAUAUUGCACAAUGGGGGAAACCCUGAUGCAGCGACGCCGCGUGAGUGAGGAAGUAUUUCGGUAUGUAAAGCCCUAUCAGCAGGGAAGAAAAUGACGGUACCUGACUAAUAAGCACCGGCUAACUACGUGCCAGCAGCCGCGGUAAUACGGAGGGGGCAAGCGUUAUCCGGAUUGACUGGGUGUAAAGGGAGCGUAGACGGGUAAUCAAGUCAGAUGUGAAAACCCAGGGCUCAACCUUGGGAGUGCUUUUGAAACUGAUUAGCUAGAGUGCGGGAGAGGUAAGUGGAAUUCUUAGUGUAGCGGUAAAAUGCGUAGAUAUUAAGAGGAACACUAGUUGCGAAGGCGACUUACUGGACUGUAACUGACGUUGAUGCUCGAAAGCGUGGGGAGCAAACAGGAUUAGAUACCCUAGUAGUC